rnacentral:rRNA from 1 species
AUACGGAGGCAGCAAGCGUUAUUCGGAAUCACUGGGCGUAAAGGACGCGUAGGCGGGUUUGUAAGUCAGGUGUGAAAUCCUACAGCUCAACUGUAGAACUGCACUUGAAACUACAGACCUAGAGUAUGGAAGGGGCAGAUGGAAUUAGUGGUGUAGGGGUAAAAUCCGUAGAUAUCACUAGGAAUACCGAAAGCGAAGGCGAUCUGCUGGGACAUUACUGACGCUGAGGCGUGAAAGCGUGGGGAGCAAACAGGAUUAGAUACCCCAGUAGUCC